AUACGUAGGGAGCGAGCGUUGUCCGGAAUUACUGGGUGUAAAGGGUGCGUAGGCGGCUAUGCAAGUCAGACGUGAAAUCCAUCGGCUUAACCGAUGAACUGCGUUUGAAACUGUGUGGCUUGAGUGAAGCAGAGGUAGGCGGAAUUCCCGGUGUAGCGGUGAAAUGCGUAGAGAUCGGGAGGAACACCAGUGGCGAAGGCGGCCUACUGGGCUUUAACUGACGCUGAGGCACGAAAGCGUGGGGAGC
rnacentral:rRNA from 1 species